GGAGGCCUUAAUGCUAUCCUUUCCUGUGAAGCAGCCUGUUGACUAUCAACAGAUAUUAAUGCCAAUUCUCCAUGCUCAGCAAUUGCUCUUGACUGCAUCUCUUUAAGCCGUAUCUCUGCUUUCUUUCGUUUAGUUUCUAUAUCAAUAGGUGCAAUACCAGCAUCCACAAAACACACUCAAUGGUGUUGGUGUAGCAACAAAUAAUUGCCUUCUGUGCCAUACACCUCCAGUAGCAUAAGGAAUUGCAACAUCUCCUAGGUAUCGAAACUGAGGACGCAACGAAGAUAUGACAAUAUAUUGUUGGUAGGCAAAAGCACAAUAUUCAACAGUUUGAUCCCAUGCAGUCCAUUCAGGUUGAGGAAGAAGACCUCCCACUGGUUCAAAGGUUUCCCAGCUGUAAAGUUGAAAAUUAGGAGGUGCAGCUUCAGCAGUAGUUUUUUGUGAAGAAUAUCCAUCAUCCACGGUGCUGAAAGAAGAAUUGGGACUACUUCCAAAUCCUGACAAGGGCAUGGACUGAAUCGUAGAAAUAGAUGUGGCAGCAACAGGGCUUAUUCGUCGAGAUGUCCUAUAAGCAACACCAAGCAGUGCUCCCCCAUGCAACCCGGUAACUGGUUCACUCCGGCUACCAACUGAUCUCAUCAAAAUGUUGGAUGUGCCAUCAUCCAGCAAUAUCCGGACUUGGACACUGGCAGAUGAAGCUGCAGAAGCUGCAGCUGCAGCAGCUUGUGCAGCAGCAGCUGCAGCUUCCUUCGCUUCCGUGAUGAGCUGCCUUUAGGGAUUAUAGGCAUUCUGGGAGGUAUAGCAGACUCCAGCAAGGCGAAUCUAUCUCUACAAGUGUCCCAAGCCAAGAGCCUUGCACUACCUGAAUCAACAAUCGACCAGUCACUGAUCUUGUAAAUUGAGAAGUAGGGAAUAUCUGGCCACACAAUGGCAAGAAACCUGCAAAAAUAACACGGCAAAUCAAACAUAUCAACAUCACAGUUUCAGACUCAAGUAUGCAUACGUCACAGAUAAGGGCAAGAAAAAUACAGUCAUAAUAUUCAUAAUAAGUAUAUGUAACAAUUUUGAUUGGAAGAGUGCUGAAAAACACUGCCGUUCCUAUAUCUAAAGAGAGAUCAAUGCCUGAGCAGCAAUCACUACCAAGACAUGAAAAAAAAAAAAGACUACUUACUUUCCGGAACUGCUCACAGAAAGCACCGAGUAUGAAUCGUGUGGAACAGGAGUGCUAACNCCCUUUGUUUGUCUUUCAGCUGUAGGAAAAUAUUCGCUUGGAUUUCAUUUCUUCGAAUGAUUUCGGACUCCUCAAUUCCAUGCUCUUCAUCUUUGUGGUCAAGAGUUUGCAAUUCAGUCUUCAAAACCUGUAUCUUCUCAUCAAUAUUCCCAAAAGUGGAUUUAUUCCAUUCUUUCAGUUCCGUUUUCAAUUUCUUCAAUUUUUCACUGACCACAAAGCAUCUCCAUCCCGUCAUUCCGUCCGCUGUCCACACUUUCCUAACCUGUUGUUCAAACUCCGGAUGUGACACCCACACAUUUUAUUCACUUUUAGCUUAUAAGAUAACAAUAUAAAAUUUUAUUCACUUUUUACACAAAAAAAAUCGAAAUGCCCUUAAAAUAAAAAUUAAAAAAAGUACUCACCCCAACCCAUCAUCUCUCUCUCCUUUUUCGUCGUUCCUCACGCCGCCUCCUCCGAUAGCGAAUCGUCGUCGCAUCGUCUUCCCCGGCUAUAACGGAGAAUCGCAGGUGGCGACUGGUAUGAAUUACAAGCUCGUGAUCUCUACCAAGGAUGGCGCCGCAGCCGCCCCUAAAACCUAUACCGUCGAAUUCCAAUUGGUUCUUCGUGAAUAGCUAGAGGAAUUGAAUGAAUUGGCUGAUUUGUGGCAAUGGCGGUGGCGUCCUCCGGCAAUUGUGUGGCAUGAAGAGGAAUUGGUUGAUUUGCUGCAAUGGCGGUGGGUAGUGCUGUAAAUUCGGGUUGCGGGUAUCGGGUAUACCCUCACCCGUCCCGAUACCUGCGCGGGUAUCGGGUACCCGAUACCCGCAAAUUGGGAGGGUCGGGUGGGGUAUCAUCUCAAAAAUCGCGGGUAGAGGGUACCCGCGGGUACCCACAUACCCGCAAUAAAUAUUUAAAAAAUAAAAUUAAAUAAUUUUAUUUAAUAAUAUUAGGAAUUAAACCAAUUAACCAAAAUUAAAUAUUAGGAAUUAAACCAAUUUUAUUAGGAAUUAAACCAAUAAAUAUUAGGAACUAAACCAAUAAAUAUUAGGAAUUAAACCAAUAAUAUUAGGAAUUAAACCAAUAAAUAUUAGGAAUUUAUAAUAAUAUUAGGAAUUUAAAUAAAUAUUAGGAAUUAAACCAAUAAUAUUAGGAAUUUUAUUUAAUAAUACUAGGAAUUAAACCAAUAAAUAUUAGGAAUUAAACCAAUUUUAUUUAAUAAUAUUAGGAAUUAAACCAAUUAACCAAAAUUUAAAAAUAAAAUUAAAUAAUUUUAUUUAAUAAUAUUAGGAAUUUUAUCCGUCACAGGUUUUUAUGGAUAAUCGAUGAAAUAGAAAGAAUAUUUUCAAUUUUUUUUGUGAAAUGCGGGACAAAAUACCCUCUCGCAGGACGAAAAACCCUCCAGCGGGACCAAAAACCCGCAAAAUUACAAUUUAAAAAAAAAUUGCGGGACUGUGAGGGUACCCUCAUACCCGCAGCGGGUAUCCGCUGCGGGUAUUCGGGUACCCGCAUCGGGGAAGAGGGUCUGGUGAGGGUGCGGUUUUCGGCAGUUUUCGUCCCGCGGGUACCCGCGGGUACCCGAUUUUACACCCCUAGCGGUGGGGGAUUCGAGAUGCUCCAGAUUUAUUCAAUUAUGAAAAAUAGAUUUUAGAAAAAGAGAUAUCUUUUUUUUGGUAGCAAUUUUGAUUUGAAGUAGGCGAAUGUGCCUAAUGUAUUAGGUUUUGUUUUGGUGCUUGCCAGCCUGUGAUAAUACUAACAAAGCUCACUUUGUGGUGUUUAUUUGGUUUGGAUAGAUUUAUUAAUAUUAAUUAGAAUGUGUUCAUAGCUCUCCCUCUCUUCUUUUGGGUGACUUUUUGUGGCUGGUAGAUUGAAAAUUGAUUAAUGUUUUUGAAUUCACAACUAAAUGUUUUUGAAUUCACGAUCAGAUCUAUGAAUUCACAACUUGAUAUUCUUAAAUUUACAACCAGAUAUAUGAAUUCACAACUAAAUGUUCUAAAAUUCACAACCAACUUUUAUUGCUGGUUGUGAAUUCAAACUUUAAAAUUCAAAUUCACGACUAUUUGAAUUCACAACCAAAAUAAUCCCUGGUUGUGAAUUCGAGUUUUAAAGUUCGAAUUCACAAUUAGUUGUUUUGAUUGUGAAUUCUCGAAUUCACAACCAGUUUGAUGAAUUCAUGGCUGAAUUGUUAGUGUUAGUUGUGAAUUCGAGUUUUAAAUCUCGAAUUCACAACCAACUCUAUUGUUGUGAAUUCACAACUAAUGUCUUUAGUUGAAUUCAAACUUUAAAACUCAAAUUCACAACUACUUGAAUUCACAACCAAAAUAAAUUUUGGUUGUGAAUUCCAUUGGAUUGUGAAAUGCAGAAAUUUUUUAAAGGUGGUGUUGAAGGGGUAAAAUGGUAAGGGUGUGUAUUUUUUUAAGUUUUUUAUCUUAGUGGGUAAUUUUUAAGUUUAUUAAAAGAAAUAAGCUAUUUUUAAAAAUCCACUCUUAUUUAUUUGCAGUACAAUAAAUUUAUUACCAUCAAUAUAUUAAAAUUAUGGUCGUGUAUAAUAAAAUUAUAAAUAACUUAGAAACAAUUAAAGAAUAAAAAUAAAAAGAUACAGGCAUCAAAUUCAAAAAACCAACCUCGAAGUGGGAUGAAAAAAUAUAAUCAAACAUGAUACAAACUAGUAUAUCACAACUGCUGAUACACAAACUAUAUCACAACUGCUGCACAAUAAAUCAUCUUAGUUGAGGAGAAGAAACAUCUCUCUUUGGCUAAGCAAUACACAAAGAAGUCUAAAUUACACUGCAGCUUACACACGACGUCCUCAAGCACGUGUCUGCAAUGCUUCUAACGCCUGAUACUUUGAAUGCCACUGACUCAUACUCAGUCUGUUGAUAUCGAAUAGUAUCCUUGUCAAGUGAAGUCAAUCAUUGAGAGUUCAGGGCGUACUCUUGUUCCUUGGUCACUUGCUUGUUGAUGACCCUCAUCCGGGGUAACUGCAGUAGUCUCAGAUGCUAUCGGGGCACUUACCUCGGUACCAUUAGACUCUGCAACACUCUGUACUGAUGCUGGCUGCUCCUGGUGUUCCACAUUAUUAUGAUCUGAUGGAGGGCCAUGGUCGCUGGAUUCAGUGACUGGUGGGGCAGAAGAAUCUGGCUCCAAUUGUGGAGGAGCAAUUGACUCUGAAGUCGUACUAGCAGAUUCAGACGUAGGUGGAGCAGCAGGAGCCCCCGUAGAGUUCUGUGAAGAACCUGAUUCAGUUGAGGGCAGACCAUUGGACUCUGAAGAAGUGGUUAUGGGUGUGGCUGCAGGCGCUUCUAAUAGCAAAGGUUUGCUAGGUUGCUGCUGCGAACUUGGAAGGGUAAGACCUGGCUUUUUCUGACCAGACUGGCCAGGAUUAGGACCAUACAAAGUCGCCAUUCCAGGUGGCAGAAUUUCGAAUUGGUGGCUUCUUGGCUGCAUCCUGCAGGCUUGUGAUCUUUGAUUCCUCGAGAGAAGCCAAAAAUGCAGCUGCUGCAUCCAUUUUGGUGGAUGGGGUGUGCUCCAGCUCUUUUUGCAGUGUUUUAUUCCAGGCUUGAACCAAGCUUCUCAAUGUUGGUCGACCAUGAGCCUACAGAAAACAGCUUGUUAUGGUUAGGUCUAUAGACUUAGUUUGCAGUAACUUCUAUAAGGCUACAUAUAUCAUACGUGAGCAUGGAGAACAGCCUCAGCGAGCAUUCCCGUCUCCUGCCAAGCCUUCUCCAUGAGUAUGUUAUCUCCCAAGAGGGCAGCUGCAAAAGCAGCUUCUCUUCCUGAACCAACUGAGAUCAAAUUGUUCACCAAAUUCUGCAAAAUUUGCAAACAUAGUGACUCAUCAACAUAUAAGAGGAGAUCAAAAAGUUAAAAACAUGAUGUUUCCAAUCUCAAGAAGUAGAAUCAUCCUAUAGAGAUUUUUUUUCAAUAAAUGUUUAUAACCAGUUCUUGAUCUAGCAUAUAAGGUGGUAUUAGAACAUAAAAUGAAAUGAUUUUGUUUUAACCUUCCUAUGCUGAAGACUAUCCAUAUGACUUAGAAUUACUCAAAGCAGGGCGUAUAAAUUAUAGGUUCAGGUCAGAAACCACUGAAACUAGUAGCAUUUUGAGAGAUAUGAGCCACUGUUUACAUGGUAUGCCUAGACUCAACUGGGAAGGCCCUGUACGAAAAGGUUCAAAGGCAUUCUGUAGUUGCAUCAUCUAAAAAGUUCAAAUCAUUUAUUUACUAAAACUGAAUUUGUUAUGUUAACAUAAUGUGCUUCUAUGAGAACCCAUUAAUAAAGCUAUAGAUCUCACAGUAGCAUGCAAACAGCUAUAAACAAAAAAUGUGUGGGUGCAAAGUGGAAAAAACUCCAAGGUUCAGAUGGGUAGUUGUAAGUAUCCCUGAUGGUAGCCUAUAAGAAUUAUUGACAAAUAGAUACAUACACUGAGACGUGUCAACUCUCCAUGAUUUGCAAGGCGCAGUGAGAGCCCUCUUAUCUCAUGGCCUUGCAAAGCUCCUUUCACAGAACCUGCAGCAGCUAAUCUCUUAAGAGCUUCACGAGCUAUGUCAGCUUGUCCAGUGGCAUCUGCAGCAUCAAUAAGUUCCUGGAACUCCUUCGCAAACUUCACUACUCCUUGAACAGCAUCCACAACAUUUUCCUUCUUUGAGGACAAAUUUAUUAUGUCAUUCAAGUUCAACCCCAAAGCUUCUUGCCCAAUAUCUCUACUGUUGCUCAUGAUCAGAAGGCAUUGUAGGGCUCUCUUCAAAUCAUUACUCUGCAUUGCUAGAUCAAAUUCCAGUCUUUUGGAUAUGCCAGGCAAGUGAAGAGCUUCAGUGGCAUAACCCAUUCCUAGCAUAAAUUGAGCUAAAUCAUCAUGAUCUUCUCUACCAAGCCUACUCGCCCAUUUCACAGCACUAACAGCAUCACCAUAUGCUGCAAGACAUCUACAACGGAUACCUGGAUGGUUGAGUGAUAUUGCAUGAGCAGACAUGUACCUGUCAAUUAGCCAGAGAACACCGUCUCUUACUCCAACAACAAGAAGAGGUCCAACUGGUCGUUUUUGUUCGGCUGGGAAUCUAGUAACAGCAACCGCAACCCCACCACCACCCACAGCAACUUCAUUAACUUUUCUUUCCUCCAUCUCUUUAGGUAUUGGCGAAUCAAUUCCUUCAACUUUAGAUUGUUUAGGCAAUGUUAAGAAGGGAGGUAUUGAGGGAGCAUGCUGAAACGAAGCUAGACGCACAACCUGUAACAUAGGAGGCCUUAAUGCUAUCCUUUCCUGUGAAGCAGCCUGUUGACUAUCAACGAUAUUAAUGCCAAUUCUCCAUGCUCAGCAAUUGCUCUUGACUGCAUCUCUUUAAGCCGUAUCUCUGCUUUCUUUCGUUUAGUUUCUAUAUCAAUAGGUGCAAUACCAGCAUCCACAAAAACACACUCAAUGGUGGUUGGUGUAGCAACAAAUAAUUGCCUUCGGUGCCAUACACCUCCAGUAGCAUAAGGAAUUGCAACAUCUCCUAGGUAUCGAAACUGAGGACGCAACGAAGAUAUGACAAUAUAUUGUUGGUAGGCAAAAGCACAAUAUUCAACAGUUUGAUCCCAUGCAGUCCAUUCAGGUUGAGGAAGAAGACCUCCCACUGGUUCAAAGGUUUCCCAGCUGUAAAGUUGAAAAUUAGGAGGUGCAGCUUCAGCAGUAGUUUUUUGUGAAGAAUAUCCAUCAUCCACGGUGCUGAAAGAAGAAUUGGGACUACUUCCAAAUCCUGACAAGGGCAUGGACUGAAUCGUAGAAAUAGAUGUGGCAGCAACAGGGCUUAUUCGUCGAGAUGUC
rnacentral:lncRNA from 1 species